CCUCCGUCGUGCUCUCCUCGUCCUCCACUUCCGCGUGCCGCAUCAGAUAAUGGGAAAGAGGAGCUGCAGCCACUGAUGGAGGAUGAUCUGACGCAGGUGGGCUCUCUGAUUAAGGAUCUUAUCCGGCUCUAUUACUUCAGCGGCGGGUCGUCAAGAUCCGCAAGAGGGUUUGCUGGAAAUGGUGCAUAGAAGGUAGAAGUUAUUUUGUGCCAAUAGUGGAGCAAAUGCAGAUUGGUGAAAGUUUAUUAUUGUGUUGCUCGUUACUUUGUAAUCACAGAUAUUAGUGCUUGAGUUCUUCCUACUGUCUUAAUUUUGUUCCAGUUCGAAAAUUGUUAAAUAAAUAGCUCAUGUCUCAUUUUAUUUUGUAUUAUCUAUCUGCGUAUGUGCAUAGACAUGACCAUAUAUCCAUUCAUCUUGGUUGGGCAGUAUAUCCUACUAUUCUGAAGGCCAUA